AAAAUUUCGUUAACGUGUUUGUUUUAUUAGAAUAAUUUCAAUAUUUGCUUGUUUUAAUUUUUGUUACUUUUCGUUUAUUUGAAUACUUUCAGCUGCGGUCAAAGUUAAAGCAAAAUCCAACGUGAGUCCAAUAAGGUCUAAAGAUGGUUUGUGCCUACAGCCAAUGACAGCGAACUGCUCGCCAUCAAAUGGAACUGCCAUCAUCUACCAUGGUACUGGAGGUGUAAAUGUGCAAUGUGAUAAAAACUACAUGGAGUUCACCUUCGCUAAUGGUAUACUAAAGCACACUUGUAGUGGCAUGUAUCUCUGUCCUGAACCACUAUUGUAUGAUGUCGGCACCACCCUCUGGGAUGGAAUUCGUAUGGUUUUGAUCGAGAAAGGCUGCCAUCCUCACCAAG
rnacentral:lncRNA from 1 species